rnacentral:rRNA from 1 species
CCGCCUGGGGAGUACGGCCGCAAGGUUAAAACUCAAAUGAAUUGACGGGGGCCCGCACAAGCGGUGGAGCAUGUGGUUUAAUUCGAUGCAACGCGAAGAACCUUACCUGGUCUUGACAUCCACGGAAGAAUCCAGAGAUGGAUUUGUGCCUUCGGGAACCGUGAGACAGGUGCUGCAUGGCUGUCGUCAGCUCGUGUUGUGAAAUGUUGGGUUAAGUCCCGCAACGAGCGCAACCCUUAUCCUUUGUUGCCAGCGGUUAGGCCGGGAACUCAAAGGAGACUGCCAGUGAUAAACUGGAGGAAGGUGGGGAUGACGUCAAGUCAUCAUGGCCCUUACGACCAGGGCUACACACGUGCUACAAUGGCGCAUACAAAGAGAAGCGACCU